rnacentral:lncRNA from 1 species
GGACAGAAGCCAGAGUUCUGAGAGCACGGGACAACUCCCUCUGUCCCAUGUAGAGUAACAUUUGGUAGACUCCUGGUUGAUGGACUAUAGAGUUGAUCCAGAAAACACGACUGAGAAAAAUGGAGACUUCUCUUAGAACCACCUGCACUGUUGCUAAGUAUAAUUAUUAAACAGAUCUUUGAAGUCAAGUGCUUGCCUAGAUCUCAGAAGUGCACUUGAGUGAUGUGCCUGACAUGUGCAGCCUAAGACACAAGCAACUAUGGCGAGCACAGGUGACUGAGGUUGAACAAUGUCAGGAAGAGAUCGGCGUGACCAAGCAGGGCCGUUUGAGAACAACUGGUCAGCAGAGGGGUGGGUUACAGGCACUGUCCUCAUGCCUGCCCCAUGAUGGGAGUCAGAUCUUCCAGAAUCUACACCAUUCAGAAAAGGUUUGGACCAGUGAGCUGGAUCAGCAGUGUCUGUCCGCCUAACUCCUGAAAACUACUACCUCUGGAGACUCCUCCUUGUCCGCAUUCAUUCACUUACUCAUGAGGGGUUGGAGAACAGAACUGAGACCUUGAUCCUAUCAUGAGAGAUCAACCCCUGGUUACAUCAGCAGUUUGAAAGCCAGGCUGAAGUGGUGGCUGCUGUCAGACAGUUUUCAGAUCUGGGUGGUGUAUGAGAGGUUAAACGGCUGCCCUCCCACAGCUCUGGGCCAGGCGAACGUGGUGGAGCCCCAGCAUCCCAGGCUCGCCAGACCAGCAUCCUGUACCAAACUGUGCUCUGACCAGAGAGCAGGAAUGAAAGAAGCUAAAGCCAUCAUCAGACUCUGUGCAGCCAUGCAUUAUAUGGAAGAGCUGGAUGUAAGCUCUUAGCAUCUGCUCCAGCACCAUGCCUGCCCACCUGCCGCUGUGCUGUCACGAUGGUCGUGCACUCCAAGACCCUGGAAUGAAUCAAUCUGAAGAGACUCCAUUCAGGUGAGAUUUUACUAAGUGAUCUAACUUUGUUACAUUAAAACCUCGGUUUCUCAGAGAGGCUCCUACCUCGUCCAAAACAAAACCUCUGCUCUUUUAAACUGAUUCAGACUUAUUUUAAAGCACUUCACAGUACUUACUUACUGUAGACAUGCCUGUGAAUCUUUGAUUGACAAGUUUGCUACCUG